AUGAACGCUGGCGGCGCGCCUAACACAUGCAAGUCGAACGAUUAAAGCACCUUCGGGUGUGUAUAAAGUGGCGAACGGCUGAGUAACACGUGGGCAACCUGCCCCUUUCAUUGGGAUAGCCACGGGAAACCGUGGAUAAUACCGAAUACUUCGAGACUUCCGCAUGGAAGACUCGAGAAAGCUCCGGCGGAGAGGGAUGGGCCCGCGGCCUGUUAGCUUGUUGGUGGGGUAACGGCCUACCAAGGCAAUGAUGGGUAGCUGGGUUGAGAGACCGACCAGCCAGAUUGGGACUGAGACACGGCCCAGACUCCUACGGGAGGCAGCAGUGGGGAAUCUUGCACAAUGGGCGAAAGCCUGAUGCAGCGACGCCGCGUGCGGAAUGAAGGCCUUCGGGUUGUAAACCGCUUUCAGCAGGGACGAGGCGAAAGUGACGGUACCUGCAGAAGAAGCCCCGGCUAACUACGU
rnacentral:rRNA from 1 species